rnacentral:rRNA from 1 species
GGCCUUGACAUACUAAGAACUUUCCAGAGAUGGAUUGGUGCCUUCGGGAACUUAGAUACAGGUGCUGCAUGGCUGUCGUCAGCUCGUGUCGUGAGAUGUUGGGUUAAGUCCGCAACGAGCGCAACCCUUUUCCUUAUUUGCCAGCGGGUAAUGCCGGGAACUUUAAGGAUACUGCCAGUGACAAACUGGAGGAAGGCGGGGACGACGUCAAGUCAUCAUGGCCCUUACGGCCAGGGCUACACACGUGCUACAAUGGUCGGUACAAAGGGUUGCUACCUCGCGAGAGGAUGCUAAUCUCAAAAAGCCGAUCGUAGUCCGGAUCGCAGUCUGCAACUCGACUGCGUGAAGUCGGAAUCGCUAGUAAUCGCGGAUCAGAAUGCCGCGGUGAAUACGUUCCCGGGCCUUGUACACACCGCCCGUCACACCAUGGGAGUUUGUUGCACCAGAAGUAGGUAGUCUAACCGCAAGGAGGACGCUUACCACGGUGCGGCCGAUGACUGGGGUGAAGUCGUAACAAGGUAAGCGUAGAUGA